rnacentral:rRNA from 1 species
AACGAACGCUGGCGGCAUGCCUAACACAUGCAAGUCGAACGAGACCUUCGGGUCUAGUGGCGCACGGGUGCGUAACGCGUGGGAACCUGCCCUUAGGUUCGGAAUAACUCCCCGAAAGGGGUGCUAAUACCGGAUAAUGUCUUCGGACCAAAGAUUUAUCGCCUUUGGAUGGGCCCGCGUUGGAUUAGCUAGUUGGUAGGGUAAAAGCCUACCAAGGCGACGAUCCAUAGCUGGGCUGAGAGGAUGAUCAGCCACACUGGGACUGAGACACGGCCCAGACUCCUACGGGAGGCAGCAGUGGGGAAUAUUGGACAAUGGGCGAAAGCCUGAUCCAGCAAUGCCGCGUGAGUGAUGAAGGCCUUAGGGUUGUAAAGCUCUUUUACCCGGGAUGAUAAUGACAGUACCGAGAGAAUAAGCGCCGGCUAACUCCGUG